UACGGAGGGGGCUAGCGUUGUUCGGAAUUACUGGGCGUAAAGCGCGCGUAGGCGGCUUUGUAAGAUUAGAGGUGAAAGCCCGGAGCUCAACUCCGGAAUUGCCUUUAAGACUGUAUCGCUAGAAUCAUGGAGAGGUGAGUGGAAUUCCGAGUGUAGAGGUGAAAUUCGUAGAUAUUCGGAAGAACACCAGUGGCGAAGGCGAACUCACUGGACAUGU
rnacentral:rRNA from 1 species